CCGAGUGCAAACUCACCAACCCAUGUGAACAUACCUUCUGUUGCUUCGGCGGGAUCGCCCCGGGCGCCUUCUGCGUGCCCCGGACCAGGCACCCGCCGGGGAUACAAACUCUUGAUUUUAGUGGAUUAUCUGAGUCGCCUUAGGGCAAACAAAUGAAUCA
rnacentral:misc_RNA from 1 species